rnacentral:piRNA from 1 species
UAGGUCAAAGGCAGGACAACCCUUCAGC